CAGCAGCCGCGGUAAUACGUAGGUCCCGAGCGUUGUCCGGAUUUAUUGGGCGUAAAGCGAGCGCAGGCGGUUAGAUAAGUCUGAAGUUAAAGGCUGUGGCUUAACCAUAGUACGCUUUGGAAACUGUUUAACCUGAGUGCAGAAGGGGAGAGUGGAAUUCCAUGUGUAGCGGUGAAAUGCGUAGAUAUUGGGAAGAACACCGGUGGCGAAGGCGGCGACCUGGUCUUUUACUGACGCUGAGGCGCGAAAGCGUGGGGAGCAAACAGGAUUAGAUACCCGCGUAGUCCCUGUCUCUUAUACA
rnacentral:rRNA from 1 species